UACGUAGGGUGCAAGCGUUGUCCGGAAUUAUUGGACGUAAAGAGCUCGUAGGCGGUCUGUCGCGUCUGCUGUGAAAACUCAGGGCUUAACCCUGAGCUUGCAGUGGGUACGGGCAGACUAGAGUGCGGUAGGGGAGACUGGAAUUCCUGGUGUAGCGGUGAAAUGCGCAGAUAUCAGGAGGAACACCGGUGGCGAAGGCGGGUCUCUGGGCCGUAACUGACGCUGAGGAGCGAAAGCAUGGGGAGCGAACAGG
rnacentral:rRNA from 1 species